rnacentral:rRNA from 1 species
AGCGAACGCUGGCGGCAUGCCUAACACAUGCAAGUCGCACGGGGGGGCUUCGGCCUCCCAGUGGCGGACGGGUGAGGAACGCGUAGGGACCUGUCGAGGGGUGGGGGAUAACCGCGGGAAACUGCGGCUAAUACCGCAUGACGCCGCGGCGUGACAGCCGGGGCCAAAGGCGAAAGCCGCCCGCCGAGGGGCCUGCGUCCGAUUAGCUGGUUGGCGGGGUAGCGGCCCACCAAGGCGUCGAUCGGUAGCUGGUCUGAGAGGGUGAUCAGCCACACCUGGACUGAGACACGGCCCGGACUCCUACGGGAGGCAGCAGUGGGGAAUAUUGGACAAUGGGCGCAAGCCUGAUCCAGCAAUGCCGCGUGGGUGAAGAAGGUCUUCGGAUUGUAAAGCCCUUUCGGCGGGGACGAUGGUGACGGUACCCGCAGAAGAAGCCCCGGCUAACUUCGUG